rnacentral:rRNA from 1 species
CCUACGGGGGGCAGCAGUGAGGAAUAUUGGUCAAUGGACGAGAGUCUGAACCAGCCAAGUAGCGUGAAGGAUGACUGCCCUCUGGGUUGUAAACUUCUUUUAUAUGGGAAUAAAAUGUUCCACGUGUGGGAUUUUGUAUGUACCAUAUGAAUAAGGAUCGGCUAACUCCGUGCCAGCAGCCGCGGUAAUACGGAGGAUCCGAGCGUUAUCCGGAUUUAUUGGGUUCAAAGGGAGCGUAGGUGGUUUGUUAAGUCAGUUGUGAAAGUUUGCGGCUCAACCGUAAAAUUGCAGUUGAAACUGGCAGUCUUGAGUACAGUAGAGGUGGGUGGAAUUCGUGGUGUAGCGGUGAAAUGCUUAGAGAUCACGAAGAACUCCGAUGGCGAAGGCAGUUCACUGGACUGCAACUGACACUGAGGCUCGAAAGUGUGGGUAUCAAACAGGAUUAGAUACCCGAGUAGUC